rnacentral:rRNA from 1 species
UACGUAGGGGGCAAGCGUUGUCCGGAUUUAUUGGGCGUAAAGAGCGUGUAGGCGGUCCGGUAAGUCCGUUGUGAAAGUCAAGGGCUCAACCCUUGAAUGCCGGCGGAUACUGUCGGGCUAGAGUCCGGAAGAGGCGAGUGGAAUUCCCGGUGUAGCGGUGAAAUGCGCAGAUAUCGGGAGGAACACCUAUGGCGAAGGCAGCUCGCUGGGACGGUACUGACGCUGAGACGCGAAAGCGUGGGGAGCAAACAGG